AUUGAACGCUGGCGGCAUGCCUUACACAUGCAAGUCGAACGGCAGCACGGGAGCAAUCCUGGUGGCGAGUGGCGAACGGGUGAGUAAUAUAUCGGAACGUGCCCAGUCGUGGGGGAUAACGUAGCGAAAGCUACGCUAAUACCGCAUACGAUCUAUGGAUGAAAGCGGGGGAUCGCAAGACCUCGCGCGAUUGGAGCGGCCGAUAUCAGAUUAGGUAGUUGGUGAGGUAAAGGCUCACCAAGCCGACGAUCUGUAGCUGGUCUGAGAGGACGACCAGCCACACUGGGACUGAGACACGGCCCAGACUCCUACGGGAGGCAGCAGUGGGGGAAUUUUUGGGACAAUGGGCGAAAGCCUGAUCCAGCAAUGCCGCGUGAGUGAUGAAGGCC
rnacentral:rRNA from 1 species